AUUAUUAUGACAGAAAAGUGUGUUAAAUUUAGAAUUUAAAAAUUAUAUUAAUUUAUAUAAUAAUA
rnacentral:tRNA from 1 species